AUUGAACGCUGGCGGCAGGCUUAACACAUGCAAGUCGAACGGUAGCAGGAGGAAGCUUGCUUUCUUGCUGACGAGUGGCGGACGGGUGAGUAAUGCUUGGGAAUCUGGCUUAUGGAGGGGGAUAACUACGGGAAACUGUAGCUAAUACCGCGUAGAAUCGGAAGAUGAAAGUGCGGGACCGCAAGGCCGCAUGCCAUGAGAUGAGCCCAAGUGGGAUUAGGUAGUUGGUGGGGUAAAGGCCUACCAAGCCUGCGAUCUCUAACUGGUCUGAGAGGAUGGCCAGCCACACUGGAACUGAGACACGGUCCAGACUCCUACGGGAGGCAGCAGUGGGGAAUAUUGCGCAAUGGGGGAAACCCUGACGCAGCCAUGCCGCGUGAAUGAAGAAGGCCUUCGGGUUGUAAAGUUCUUUCGGUAUUGAGGAAGGUUGAUGUGUUAAUAGUACAUCAAAUUGACGUUAAAUACAGAAGAAGCACCGGCUAACUCCGUGCCAGCAGCCGCGGUAAUACGGAGGGUGCGAGCGUUAAUCGGAAUAACUGGGCGUAAAGGGCACGCAGGCGGUUAUUUAAGUGAGGUGUGAAAGCCCCGGGCUUAACCUGGGAAUUGCAUUUCAGACUGGGUAACUAGAGUACUUUAGGGAGGGGUAGAAUUCCACGUGUAGCGGUGAAAUGCGUAGAGAUGUGGAGGAAUACCGAAGGCGAAGGCAGCCCCUUGGGAAUGUACUGACGCUCAUGUGCGAAAGCGUGGGGAGCAAACAGG
rnacentral:rRNA from 1 species